rnacentral:rRNA from 1 species
GCACUGGCGGGGUGCUAUACAUGCAGUCGAACGCGUUGGCCCAAUUGAUUGAUGGUGCUUGCACCUGAUUGAUUUUGGUCGCCAACGAGUGGCGGACGGGUGAGUAACACGUAGGUAACCUGCCCAGAAGCGGGGGACAACAUUUGGAAACAGAUGCUAAUACCGCAUAACAGCGUUGUUCGCAUGAACAACGCUUAAAAGAUGGCUUCUCGCUAUCACUUCUGGAUGGACCUGCGGUGCAUUAGCUUGUUGGUGGGGUAACGGCCUACCAAGGCGAUGAUGCAUAGCCGAGUUGAGAGACUGAUCGGCCACAAUGGGACUGAGACACGGCCCAUACUCCUACGGGAGGCAGCAGUAGGGAAUCUUCCACAAUGGGCGCAAGCCUGAUGGAGCAACACCGCGUGAGUGAAGAAGGGUUUCGGCUCGUAAAGCUCUGUUGUUAAAGAAGAACACGUAUGAGAGUAACUGUUCAUACGUUGACGGUAUUUAACCAGAAAGUCACGGCUAACUACGUGCCAGCAGCCGCGGUAAUACGUAGGUGGCAAGCGUUAUCCGGAUUUAUUGGGCGUAAAGAGAGUGCAGGCGGUUUUCUAAGUCUGAUGUGAAAGCCUUCGGCUUAACCGGAGAAGUGCAUCGGAAACUGGAUAACUUGAGUGCAGAAGAGGGUAGUGGAACUCCAUGUGUAGCGGUGGAAUGCGUAGAUAUAUGGAAGAACACCAGUGGCGAAGGCGGCUACCUGGUCUGCAACUGACGCUGAGACUCGAAAGCAUGGGUAGCGAACAGGAUUAGAUACCCUGGUAGUCCAUGCCGUAAACGAUGAGUGCUAGGUGUUGGAGGGUUUCCGCCCUUCAGUGCCGGAGCUAACGCAUUAAGCACUCCGCCUGGGGAGUACGACCGCAAGGUUGAAACUCAAAGGAAUUGACGGGGGCCCGCACAAGCGGUGGAGCAUGUGGUUUAAUUCGAAGCUACGCGAAGAACCUUACCAGGUCUUGACAUCUUGCGCCAACCCUAGAGAUAGGGCGUUUCCUUCGGGAACGCAAUGACAGGUGGUGCAUGGUCGUCGUCAGCUCGUGUCGUGAGAUGUUGGGUUAAGUCCCGCAACGAGCGCAACCCUUGUUACUAGUUGCCAGCAUUAAGUUGGGCACUCUAGUGAGACUGCCGGUGACAAACCGGAGGAAGGUGGGGACGACGUCAGAUCAUCAUGCCCCUUAUGACCUGGGCUACACACGUGCUACAAUGGACGGUACAACGAGUCGCGAACUCGCGAGGGCAAGCAAAUCUCUUAAAACCGUUCUCAGUUCGGACUGCAGGCUGCAACUCGCCUGCACGAAGUCGGAAUCGCUAGUAAUCGCGGAUCAGCAUGCCGCGGUGAAUACGUUCCCGGGCCUUGUACACACCGCCCGUCACACCAUGAGAGUUUGUAACACCCAAAGUCGGUGGGGUAACCUUUUAGGAGCCAGCCGCCUAAGGUGACAGAUUG